UGGAGGUGUUCCCUACCUGUUCGGUGU
rnacentral:piRNA from 1 species